AAUUUGAUAGUGAAUUUUCAAUAUAAUUGUUUAUUCAAAAUAAACGACGUAUUUUUAUCUUGAUUGAUUGACGUUAUGGGUUUUACCAAAUUUUCCUGUUAGAUAAUUUUUUUUACACUGUUGUUUAACAAUGUCGAAUUUAAACACAAAUUAUAUUAUUUAAUUAAGGAUUCACUUAUAGGUCCGUUAAUAAAACUCGAAAUUCUAAUCAGUUUUUUAAAUAACAUAGUUUACUCAUUAGUACACAAUCAAAGUUGAUGAUGAACUAUGAACUAUGUAAACCUAAUAUGUAGAUAACUAACUUGUUUCUAAUGUACGCAAUAUAUAUCUUUCUCAUUUUAUUUACCGGAUAAAAAGAAAAAACUAUAUAGAGAUACAGAAUAAACCACAACCCAAGAACUGAUUAGGUUUAUACCUGGGAAUAAUCGAAAGAAAAUAACUGAAUUGAACACAAUAAAAAGUAUAUUUUAUUAUUUUCAAGUACCAAUACUAUAUAAACAAUGGCUAGUAAAAAUGAAACUCCAAUACACGUUAAGAACACUAAUAAAGUUGAAUUUGAUCUUGGUGUGAAACAAGCCCAAUCACAGCGUGGAAAUUUUGCUCAGGUCAAGCUCAACGUUAAUUUAGAUUGGGGAGAAAAACCCUUGAGAAGUUUUUGGAUUCUGCAUUGCAAGGAAGAGCUUCACAAAAAAUAUGAAUUAUAAAAAUAUAAAACGAACUGCGAGCAAAAAGCUGGCAAUUCGCCUCGUAAAAAUGUCCCCAAAACCCCUAAGGCCAUUAUCGAUGUACCAGAUCCCAAAUUCUUAUUGAAAUAGCAGCAGAUGAUAAUAAAACAACAACAAAAUAUGCUGGCUGCAACACAAAAACAACUAGCUACUGAACCUCCAAAACCAGCUCAGGCACAACGACAAGCAUCUAGAGGAAAAGGAGCACAAUCAAAACUUGUACUUAAGGUUAAGUUAGAAAAAUGAUUCGUUUCAACAUGACUUACGUUUAGAUAUUCAAUUUCUAAAACACAGAAAUUAUUAUUUAUAUGAAUAGUGAACUAUUUUUUCAAAAAAUUAUAGUUAAAAUUACUUUAAUCUAUUUUUGUAGGAUGUUUUUCCAUUCUAAAGUUAUACUUUUUAUUUUCAAAGCGCUACACUCAUAUUCAAGGAAUAAUUUUGAUAUCCAAAGUAACCUCUUAUUCUGAGGUUCAUUUACUUUAUCGUUUUCCUUUUUUUGUUUGCAUUUGUUAUUAGUCUACUUUAUUGCUAUUUAUUUAAAUAAUGUUAACCACCAACUACUAUAACUUGCACUGUUUGGUUCUUCGUAUAGGUUCAUAUCCGGCUCGAAGGACCAAAUAGUGUAAUUAUAGUAAGAAUUUUAUUCACUAUAAAUGUUAUCAACAGUUCCACAAAUGUUAACUUAACAUUACAUAUAUUACAGGAAUUAUAGAUUAUAACAUGGAAUUUUAGCUAACAACCACUGAAAGUAGGAAAAAAAUGUGAAGCCACAAAAAUUACGGGGUUUAUUUUCUUUGACAAUAAUUUUUGACGGGUUAUCGUCAUUAAUGUUUUUAGAUUAGGUAGUUGGCAUUACAGAACCAAGAGGGACGACUGCGGGUGCGUUUCCGACUCGGAAAGCGACAGAUAAGUGUACAGUGCUGUCAAAUUUUUUAAAAACUGUGCUCUUUUGAGUUUACUGGCCAACAAUGUGUUGUCUGUACCUCUUCCGACAGUAUUCAUGGAGUCGCACUGAUUCCUCACAUUCGAGAGCUUCACUUUCACAAGGGUGUCUAACCCACGGGUAACACAACUUAUUUUUAACAAGGAGGAGGAGGAAUCCCUUACAAACGGACACAAAAUGCAACGAUCCUUAAUUGCAAUCACUGUAAAAACACAAACGAAACAUGAUAGACAUCUAGCCACUUAUCCGCGGAGACUCAUGGCUCGACCUAUCUCCACUCCCGCCGCUCUCCUUGUUUCGCACCGCAAGGAGUCUCUCCUUUCCUCGUGUUAGACACAAUAAUGGGAUUGUGUACUGAUGAUUUUAAAACGUUUAUGAAGUUCUGACAACUCUAUGAGAUCAAAUUUAUUGAAAUUAAAAUAGAAAAUAAUUAUCCUACUUAUUAAUAAAUAAUUUUUAUUGUUAUUGUCCCAUAGAAUAAAGUCAAUAAUAAAAAUAACAUAUAAAUAGAAUAAUAAUAUUGUUGUAACAAAAUGUAUAAAUUUUGAAUAAAUAAAAAAUACGUUGAUGAAUGAA